GACAGAGGGGGCAAGCGUUGCUCGGAAUUACUGGGCGUAAAGGGCGCGUAGGCGGGAUGGCAAGUCGGUCAUGAAAUCCCUCGGCUCAACCGAGGAACGUCGAUCGAUACUGCUGUUCUUGAGGAUUGCAGAGGAGACUGGAAUUCCCGGUGUAGCGGUGAAAUGUGUAGAGAUCGGGAGGAACACCGGUGGCGAAGGCGGGUCUCUGGGCAAUUCCUGACGCUGAGGCGCGAAAGCGUGGGGAGCAAACGGG
rnacentral:rRNA from 1 species